rnacentral:rRNA from 1 species
UCCUGGCCCUAAACGAUGUCCACUAGGUCGGAGAUUCUCUGACGAAGUUCCGGCCGAAAUGAAAACGGUAAGUGGACCGCCUGGGGAGUACGGUCGCAAGGCUAAAACUCAAAGGAAUUGACGGGGGAUCACACAAGCGGUGGAGCAUGUUGCUUAAUUCGAUGCAACGCGAAGAACCUUAUCCUGGGCUUGACAUGUGCGAAUGCCUACUGGGAAACCAGGUCGGCUGCCCU